CAAGGGCUGUAAGGUAUUUUAGUCACGUGGUGUGAAAGCAGACCGACAGGUGUAGGACAUUAAAGUAUCGCGAGAGCAGUUCUAGAGACUACUCCAGCACACACUCUCGCGGUAUUGUGGCGCGAGCGUGUGUGUGUGUUUGUUCGCGCGCUCGUGCGGAGAGAGAUGUCAGUCAAACUCGUGUACAGUAAACGGCAACAGUGCUCUAAUAAAACGAUCAACAUUUCAUUAAUUCCUCUACACUCCGGUGGCAAAAUUCGGGAUAAAACAUUCAGGGCUAGAUUAAAAUCAUCCGGGGCUCAAGCCCCGAAUGAAUAGCCCUCGACGCCCCUGGAACAGAACACAAACAUUUCCCCUGUUUCUAAUCCAUCCUAGUAAUAAUCAUGAGAUCUACAUCACACUUCCUUCCUUACAAAGGAUCAUUAACGCACCAUACACUCUGGUUUGCACAGAACUCUUCAAUACACCAAUAUUUUCGCAGGACUCAGAAACACACAGUUUUUGCUCAAGCCCGGUUUUUGCACGUCACCUCACUAGGUUGUGCAUACUGUCAAAGUGUAUAUGUUGAAACUGGGAAAAAUCACACUUUUAACCCAGCAAUACCAGGAGUUAUUGAAUUGGGGGACUGGAGAUGCAAUGACAAGUUGGUAGUUGACUAGGACGCUAAAUCUGAGCCUCACUGGUAUCCUAAUUACAAAGGACGAGCAAGUGUUAACACUGACAAUGGAGACCUCACACUUCAGGUGAAGAAGCAAGACAGCGGUAUAUUUAAGGCCCAACUCCAGAUACAAGGAAAUCUGAAGUAUUUUGAACAUACGCUUAAAGUGAUGGAUCCAGUUCCUCAGCCAAAAGUGACUUGUAAGCAGAUUGGAACAAAUGUAACACUUUUGUGUUCAGUGGACCCUCCAGUGCAGGCAGAAUUUAAGUGGUCCGGACCAAAUGGGUUCUCUCAUGUUGGGAAUAGUGUUCAUAUCACCGGAAAACAAAAUGAGGAUUCAAUCUAUUUCUGCACUGCAAAAAAUGAAGUGAGCGAAAAGUCAGCAGAGUUUAAUCUUAUGGACUGUCUUAUGGACCAUCCUCUUGCCAUCCCAAGCCAUCUUGUUGCCUUAUAUACUACAGUUUUCUAUAAUGUUGUUCUGAUUUGUGCACUAGCUUUUCUCAACUGCAAUUACUAUAAUGUAAACAAUGAUGAGGAUGUGAUUACCACUGUAGAAUUUCGUUUUGUAAGUGAUGGCUUUCAAACUUCCAAGUCAUUGUAUUACUGAAUCAAUGUGAUCAGCCUCAGUAGGUUAACUGGAGAAAUCAUCUUUAGCAUUGUACUGCCAGUCAGCUUAGCUUACUCAUACAUACACACUGCAAGCAAAAGAAACAGCUUUAUCACAUGUCAAAUAUAGUUUACAUUUAGAAAAACAAGUAUAUGGCUAAAAUGAAGGGUUCUCUCUAAAAAAAUGUCAUGACAAAAUGAGCUGGUAAGAGGGUUCAGUGAAUUAAAUACAUAUAAAGGAAAGGCCAAGAAACAUGUUAAGGGCAUAGAAUUUUAAACUUCACGGCAGUUUAUUAUAUAUAAUAUAUCUAGUAGAUCCAAUGGACAGAGGGUAGGAUUGCAGCACAAGAUGACUUGCAGUAUCUCUUCUGUUUGCUAGAUGAAAAGAAUGUGCCAGAGAAAGAAGAGGGGAAUCCUGAAUGUGUAGUGUAGGAGUUAAAGGUUUGGCAGACUUUUCUUUUUUCAAUCAUAAAAGGUGGCAAAGCAGUCUGGUAGGUUAAGAAGCGAAGAAAUGAUUUGUGUAGCUUGUGCAUACCUUGGGAAAAUGGUAAAACUCUAGAAAAUUUUAAUAAAAAAAAUUAUUAGGAAAUUAUUUUUUACUUAAAUACUUAGAUAUUUUUGCACAUAAACAUUUUUUGAGUUUAACUCCAAUACCAGCUCCAUGAUCUCUUUAACCCUCUGAUGCAUGAAUUAUGAAAGCCUGUUUCAAGAUUUUUUCCUUAAGUGUUUGUAUUCUUCUUCUUAAAACAGUAUGAACUUAAAUUGUGUUUUAUGGUAAAUCCAUGAACAAUUAUUUCAAUUUAUGAAACAUUUUAACAUAUUUUCACACAUUUUAACAUUGUACAGGCCUAUGGUUUAGUUUACCUGUCAAUUCCGCUUGUAGCCUAUACAAUAGCUAAAUGCCAGAAAACCUCAUGUACUGUCAGAAUACUACGUUUUAGAUGUAAAUUAAAAUGGCGUAGCUGUACAAAAAUGAUAAUAAUGUGCACCAUCAGUUUUAUUUGCAGCAAAGCACACCAUCACAGAAUGUGAGCUGCAUUAUUAUAAUAACAAUAAUAAUUGUUACUCACACAGACUACACCUAAUCUGCACAAAACUGUAUAUUUUUAAAUGAAUACCCUAUAAAUAUAGCAAAUAUUUACGAACAAAACAGUGUCAGGAACAGCUGGACAGUUCCCUGCCAGGCCAAGAGAGGGCGCUGGCAG